rnacentral:lncRNA from 1 species
CCAAACAUGUACAUAUCAUUCAAAAUAGGGUACACCGGCCCCUCAAAAUAUCAACUAUUCAAAUACAACACUGGCAAUUCGACUUUUGCAACAAUUUCUAAACCACAGUACCCAAAAUGCAUAAUAUAUAUACAAAACAUAGCAAGCCCAACACAUGGAACUAAUUUAUGACCAAAAGAGGUGUCUAUCCCAAAAUAUGAACUAUUAAACUGAAAAAAUAAUUCAUACAAUGCUUGACAA